AUUCAUCCUGCCGCCGUAUCGACCCGCGGCCGACCCCGCGCGGCCAGGCGCCCCCGCCCGCUGCCCUCUCCUUUCCCAGCCCGGCCUCCCCCGCGGGGGCUGUCACCGAGCGCCUGGCACGGCCGGGCCAUGCCCCGGGGAAGGAGGGACCAGGGCCGGGGGCGGGAGCCAGCCCUUGUGCUCGCAGCCCUGGGUUCGGAGCCCAGCUGCCCGGGAAGGUUUCCAGAUCUCCCUGAGCCUCAGUUUCCCCAUCUGUAAACUGGGUGGUGGUGGCUUCGUCCCCCGCUUUGAGAGGACAGCAGGAGAGGCGUCCUGAGAAGUGAGUUCGCCUGGAAGCUGCCGGGCUGUAGUUUGCGUUGAUACCACCGAUCUUCCCGGUCACUCUAGGAGACGGGCCAUAUCCCCGUUUUACAAAUGAGGAAACUAACUCAGCGAGGGGAGACGCCGUGUCCAGGGACACACAUGCACAUUUGCGAGCGGGUGAAAAUUUCUGUGAAUGUUUAUAAGCACAUGGAACGGGCAUCUUUGUGGCUGCGGGAGUUGCACGGCUCUCCCGGGCAGUGUCCAUCACACUCAUGGCUUCCUAGACUUCCAUCUCCGGUCUAAUCACCUUCCGAACGCCAGAACCAUCACGUCUGCUGCCCUUGAACACCUCCCCUAGGUGUCCCUGUGGGCCACCCAGGUUCCCUCCACCCCAGUCUUCCCCACCUGCUUCUCCUUCAUGCUUCCCUCUCAGGGAGUUUGAGACCAGGCUGACCAACAUGGAGAAACCCCGACUCUACUAGAAAUACAAAAUCAGCUGGGUGUGGUGGCGCAUGCCUGUAAUCCCAGCUACUCGGGAGGCUGAGGCAGAAUUGCUUGAGCCUGGGAGGCGGAGGUUGCAGUGAGCCGAGAUUGCACCAUUGCACUCCAGCCUGGGCAACAAGAGCAAAACUCCGUCUCAAAAAAAAAAAAAAAAAAAAAGUAAAAGUAAAAGAAAGUCAAUCACCAAUAAUGCUGGAAUAUGUCAACUUUUCUCCCACCUCUUGCCACUGAUCCAGACCCCAUUCCCUCUGCCCGGGUGAUCCCUUAUAGCUACCCAGGGCUGCGGCUUUGCUCCAUUCAAGCCAUUUUCCACGCAGCAGCAGCCAGGGCCGUCUUUCCAGAGUGUAUUAGGUUGGUGCAAAAGUAACUGUGGUUUUUGCAAUUAAAAGUAAUUGUAGGCCAGGCACAGCGGCUCAUGCCUGUAAUCGCAGCACUUUGGGAGGCUAAGACAGUUGGAUCACUUGAGGUCAGGAGUUCGAGACCCACCUGGCCAACAUAGUGAAACCUGGUCUCCACUAAAAAUACAAAAAUUAGCUGGGCAUGGUGGCACACGCCUGUAAUCCCAGCUCCUGGGGGGGUGGGGGGGCAGGGCUGAGGCAGGAGAGUCGCUUGAACCCAGGAGACGACAGCUGCAGUGAGCUGAGAUCACGCCACUGCACUCCAGCCUAGGCGACAGAGUGACUCUGUCUCAAAAAAAAAAAAAAAAAAGGAAUUGCAAAAACCGCAAUUACUUAAUAGAUCUGACCAAGACUCUCCCCAGGUUCAAACCCCGGCUUCAAACCUUUUGCUCCUUAUAGUCUUUUUUUAAAACUCUUAUCUGUGGCUCAUUGUGUCUCAAGACAGCCAAGCAAACCGAACUGCUAGGAAUUUUCCCAAUGGAACAUUCUCUCUGCAAGUCCUUUGCUCUUGCGGUUGCUCCUCCAGGAGCUCCUGCCUCCCUCUUCUCUUCCCUUCCUUGAGGCUCAGCAUGGGAGAGGCCCUGCUGCAGGUGCCCUCUGACCUCUCAGGUAGGGGAGGGGGCCUCUGUCCUCUGCAAACCUGCGCUGAGUGCUCUGGAUGGUUCCGUCCCUUGGAUUGGGCCUCCCCAAGGGCAAGACCCUGCCUGGUUCACCCUGGCCGCUCAUGCAGAGGCCUGCCUAACAUAGCUGCUGAAUGAAUGAAUGAAUGAAUUGAAUUGAAUAAUGGACAAAGCCCAACAGGGAGGGUUAGCAUAAAGGGGAGACAGG
rnacentral:lncRNA from 1 species